UUUUACCCUGAUGGGAACCAUCAAGCAGAACCUUCUGGACCUGUACUUCCGAGUUCACUAGGGCUGGGAGAACUCAGCCCAGGGAUCAGCAACGCAUGUACGAGUCUCUCCAGAAGAGUGGUCUUUCAAUAAACGUUGCUGAAUGAGGGACUGAAUAUCAAUCCACAGUCAACUUUCCAAUCUGUGUGGUUACGUGGGUUACAGCAAUAAAAGGCAUACAACCCUAAUUAAGGAUGUCACAGCUUAGUGAGAGAAAAAAAAAUUAUACUUUGCCAAACCCAGAGUGAGAAAGGCUUCCUGAAGAAGGUGGAAAGCAAGCUGACUACUGAAAGGAUUGACUUUAUGUGGCAUGUGCAAAUAUGUAAGAAGGUGACUUAAAAGGUGAAACUGGAACACAGAGACAAAGAAAAGUCAACAAAGGCUCUAACAUCAACAUGACCUUGGAUAAGGUGUACAUUUCAUCAGGACAGAUGACUCGAAUGGGUAAACUUAGUCACCUCAUCAGCAGCCAUCCUGGAGAACAGAGCACUGGGCUUAAAAAUCAUUUCUUCCAACGGUCUCCAUCCUUUGUCCCUGAAAGAAAAUUCAUGCUCCCAAUCUCCAAGCACUCUGGCUAUCUUUCUUGCUAAAAAGAAAUCUGUUUGGGAUGCCAGUCAUUAACCUAAGAGAGCUAUGAUGUGUUCCUUCCAUUCUGGGCUCCUUGUGGGCUAAGCUUGAGCCACAGUAUUUGGUUUAAGGCCCUUGUCCGGGUCUAAUGGGUCACUGUCUAAUAGAAUGUAAAUCUACACUUGUUGCUUCUAUAUUCUUUCUUUCUCUUUUUUUCUUUUUUACUUUUUUAGACGGGUGCUUGCUCUGUCGCCCAGGAUAGAGUGCAGUGACGCCAUCAUAGCUCACUACAGCUUCGACCACUGGGCUCAAACAUCCUCCCACCUCAGUCUCCCAAGUAACUGGGACCACACAGGCACACAUCACGCUGCCUAGCUUGUUCCACUAUUUUGAACAGGUCCUUUUUUUCUUUUCUUUUUUUCUCCUUUAGAGAUAUAAAAGUAUAAACCAGAUACUUAGCUUCACCUCAGGUAUAACGUGGUAGAAAGACCUAAACUAGGAAUUGAAUGCCCAGUUGUCAAAGUGGCCCCACUACUAAACAACCCUGGAACUUUACACAAAUCACAAAUUUUCUGGGACCCCAGUUUCUUGUCUCUACAAUAGUGGAACCAAACAAAUGGUGUUUCAACGUUGUUUCUAGUUCCAAAAAUGCUCAUAAUCCUAAUUCUUAGUAAAUCACUUCUAUUUUUAUUCAGAGGUAACAGGGUGUGAUAUAAAAAAACACAAGCUUGGACUCAGACAGACAUGGAUUGAACCAUGUUUGACACUGAGGUUAGAACAUCUCUGAUAUGCAAUUUCCUUCCUAUAAAAUAGAGAUAGUAUUACCUAACUCACCAGGUAGUUAUGAAUAUUAAUCAGACAAUAUAUAUCAACUAUUUACCGUGGUUUGUUUACAGUAGAGCCUUAAUUUUUUUUUAAAAAAGUGCCCUAAUCAUGUUUUCAAGUUGGCACUUACUUUAGAAAUCAGCAUGAAUUUGAGGCUUUCAAAGCACCACUUGUGGUAUGUAUUAUUUCCUCAAUUGUCACAUUAAAAUUUUUCUUCUUGAUAUUUAUUUUAAUUUUCAAAUAGAAAGUUUGCUUUUCUGUUUCCUUUCUAUAAAUAUUACCCCUUACCAGAGUAGCCUCC
rnacentral:lncRNA from 10 species